UACGUAGGGUGCAAGCGUUGUCCGGAAUUAUUGGGCGUAAAGAGCUCGUAGGCGGUUCGUCGCGUCGGCUGUGAAAACCUGAGGCUCAACCUCAGGCCUGCAGUCGAUACGGGCGGACUUGAGUACUGCAGGGGAGACUGGAAUUCCUGGUGUAGCGGUGAAAUGCGCAGAUAUCAGGAGGAACACCGAUGGCGAAGGCAGGUCUCUGGGCCACUACUGACGCUGAGAAGCGAAAGCAUGGGGGAGCGAACAGG
rnacentral:rRNA from 1 species